rnacentral:rRNA from 1 species
AUACUCCCGAGAGACCGAUAGCGAACCAGUACUGUGAAGGAAAGGUGAAAAGCACUUCGAACAGAAGAGUGAAAUAGUCCCUGAAACCAUGCGCCUACAAGCGGUCGGAGCAGCUUUUAGCUGUGACGGCGUGCCUUUUGCAUAAUGAACCUACGAGUUACUUUUUCCGGCAAGGUUAAGGAUCUUGAGAUCCGCAGCCGAAGCGAAAGCGAGUCUUAACAGGGCGAUUAGUCGGAAGGAGUAGACGCGAAACCAAGUGAUCUACCCUUGGUCAGGUUGAAGGUUAGGUAACACUAACUGGAGGACCGAACCGAUAAGCGUUGAAAAGCUUCCGGAUGAACUGAGGGUGGGGGUGAAAGGCUAAUCAAACUUGGAGAUAGCUCGUACUCCCCGAAAUGCAUUUAGGUGCAGCCUUGCGGGUUACUGAUGUGAGGUAGAGCGACUGAUAAGAUGCGAGGGCUUCACCGCCUAUCAAGUCUUGACAAACUCCGAAUGCGUGUCAGUUCUAUGUCAGGAGUGAGGGCAUGGGUGCUAAGGUCCAUGUCCUAAAGGAGAACAAUCCGGACCAACAGCUAAGGUCCCGAAAUGAAUACUAAGUUGAACUAACGAAGUCAGAUUGCUAAGACAGCUAGGAUGUUGGCUUGGAAGCAGCCAUUCAUUUAAAGAGUGCGUAACAGCUCACUAGUCGAGGAGUUUGGCGUGGAUAAUAAUCGGGCAUCAAGCAAUUUACCGAAGCUAUGGGAUCAGUAAUGAUCGGUAGGGGAGCAUUCCACUCUGCGUCGAAGGUGAAGCGUGAGCUUUGCUGGAGCGUGUGGAAAAGCAAAUGUAGGUAUAAGUAACGAUAAAGGGGGUGAGAAACCCCCUCGCCGAAAGACUAAGGUUUCCUGAUCAACGCUAAUCGGAUCAGGGUCAGUCGGGUCCUAAGGCUCAGCCGAACGGCGAUGCCGAUGGCAGAAACGGUUAAUAUUCCGUUACUACCUUCAGGAGUGACGUGGAGACGCAGUAGUGACAGUGCCGCCAUCUGACGGAAUAGAUGGUUGAAGGGUGUAGGAGUCGAUCAUGGCAGGCAAAUCCACCAUGAGAUCCGAACCUGACAGUAUGCCGCGUCCUUCGGGACAAGGCAAUAGUGCGCGUAAGCAUGCUGCCGAGAAAAUCCGCUAAACUUAAUCCUGCAGGUACCCGUACCGCAAACGGACACACGUAGUCGGGUUGAAUAUACUAAGGCGCUUGAGUGAUUCACGGUUAAGGAACUAGGCAAACUGACCCUGUAACUUCGGGAUAAAGGGUCCUCGCUUAACGGCGAGGCGCAGAGAAUAGGUCCAGGCAACUGUUUAACAAAAACACAGGGCUGUGCAAAAUUUAGAGAUGAAGUAUACAGCCUGACACCUGCCCGGUGCCGGAAGGUUAAGAGGAGAGCUAAUCGCAAGAGAAGGCUUGAAUUGAAGCCCCGGUAAACGGCGGCCGUAACUAUAACGGUCCUAAGGUAGCGAAAUUCCUUGUCGGGUAAGUUCCGACCUGCACGAAUGGUGUAAUGAUCUGGACACUGUCUCAACCGUGACUUCGGUGAAAUUGUAGUAUCGGUGAAGAUGCCGAUUACCCGCAACGGGACGAAAAGACCCCGUGAACCUUUACUGCAACUUAGCAUUGCGUUUGGGCAUUUGAUGUGUAGGAUAGUCCGGAGGCUACGAGUCGGCGACGCCAGUCGUCGAGGAGCCGUUGUUGAAAUACGGACCUUCGAAUGUUUGAGCGCUAACUCGCAGGUGCGAGGACACUGUUUGGUGGGUAGUUUGACUGGGGUGGUCGCCUCCAAAAGCGUAACGGAGGCUUCUAA